CCUACGGGAGGCAGCAGUGAGGAAUAUUGGACAAUGGACGAGAGUCUGAACCAGCCAAGUAGCGUGAAGGAUGACUGCCCUAUGGUUUGUAAACUUCUUUUAUAUGGGAAUAAAAUGUUCCACGUGUGGGAUUUUGUAUGUACCAUAUGAAUAAGGAUCGGCUAACUCCGUGCCAGCAGCCGCGGUAAUACGGAGGAUCCGAGCGUUAUCCGGAUUUAUUGGGUUUAAAGGGAGCGUAGGUGGAUUGUUAAGUCAGUUGUGAAAGUUUGCGGCUCAACCGUAAAAUUGCAGUUGAAACUGGCAGUCUUGAGUGCAGUAGAGGAGAGCGGAAUUCGUGGUGUAGCGGUGAAAUGCUUAGAUAUCACGAAGAACUCCGAUUGCGAAGGCAGUUCACUGGACUGCAACUGACACUGAGGCUCGAAAGUGUGGGUAUCAAACAGGAUUAGAUACCCCUGUAGUC
rnacentral:rRNA from 1 species